rnacentral:tRNA from 1 species
GGAAAUGUGGCUUAGUGGUAGAGUGCUUGCCUAGCAUGUAUGAAGCCCUGGGUUCGAUUCCUCAAUACCA